AGCUCCACAUGUAGGUGUGGAGGAAGAGUAUUGUUGUCAAGCUUUCCGUCAGAAGAUCCACCAGGAUAUCCUGA
rnacentral:ncRNA from 1 species